UUGCACGCUGGCGGCAGGCCUCACACCUGCCAGUCGAGCGGAUGAAGGGAGCUUGCUCCUGGAUUCAGCGGCGGACGGGUGAGUAAUGCCUAGGAAUCUGCCUGGUAGUGGGGGAUAACGUCCGGAAACGGGCGCUAAUACCGCAUACGUCCUGAGGGAGAAAGUGGGGGAUCUUCGGACCUCACGCUAUCAGAUGAGCCUAGGUCGGAUUAGCUAGUUGGUGGGGUAAAGGCCUACCAAGGCGACGAUCCGUAACUGGUCUGAGAGGAUGAUCAGUCACACUGGAACUGAGACACGGUCCAGACUCCUACGGGAGGCAGCAGUGGGGAAUAUUGGACAAUGGGCGAAAGCCUGAUCCAGCCAUGCCGCGUGUGUGAAGAAGGUCUUCGGAUUGUAAAGCACUUUAAGUUGGGAGGAAGGGCAGUAAGUUAAUACCUUGCUGUUUUGACGUUACCAACAGAAUAAGCACCGGCUAACUUCGUG
rnacentral:rRNA from 1 species